rnacentral:rRNA from 1 species
GACGAACGCUGGCGGCGUGCCUAACACAUGCAAGUCGAACGGUGAAGCGCCUUCCUUUUUGGUGGGUGUGGAUGAGCGGCGAACGGGUGAGUAACACGAGAGUAACCUUCCCCCUCUUUCUGGAUAACCGCAUGAAAGUGUGGCUAACACGUGAUAUUCUGGGUCUGUCGCUUCAUGGGUCUGGGACAGUCUUUGUUUCGGUGGUGGAUGGGUUCGCGGUGCAUCAGCUUGUUGGUGAGGUGAUGGCGUACCAAGGCGGCGAUGAAUAGCCGGCCUGAGAGGGGGGUCGGCGACACCGCAGGGGAGAAACCGCCCACAAGACUACGGCAGGCGGCAGUAGUGAAGAAUAUGGCACAGGGGGCGGAAGGCUGAUGCAGCGACGCCGCGUGGGGGAUGGAGGCCUUCGGGUUGUGAACCUCUUUCGCCAGUGAAGCAAGCUUGCCGCGAUUGUGGAUAGGUUGACGGUAGCUGGAUAAGAAGCGCCGGCUAACUACGUG